GACGAAUCUAUUGUCUGCCAAGCCUGCGCAUUACCGUGCGCAGGGGAGGGCAGCGAAAAGAGGAAUCU
rfam:Acidovorax temperans strain KY4 Contig_11, whole genome shotgun sequence.